rnacentral:rRNA from 1 species
AAUCAACGCUGGCGGCGUGCCUAACACAUGCAAGUCGAACGCGAAAGCCCCUUCGGGGGUAAGUAGAGUGGCGUCCGGGUGAGUAACACGUGGGUAAUCUACCUUCGGGUGGGGAAGUAACUCAGGGAAACUUAGAGCUAAUACCGCAUAAUGCAGCGGCACCUAAUGGUGAUUAGUUGUUAAAGCGGGGGAGUCGCAAGACCUCGCGCCUGAAGAGGAGCCUGCGGCAGAUUAGCUAGNGGUGAGGUAAUGGCUCACCAAGGCUUCGAUCUGUAGCUGGUCUGAGAGGACGGCCAGCCACACUGGCACUGACACACGGGCCAGACUCCUACGGGAGGCAGCAGUGGGGAAUUUUGGGCAAUGGGCGAAAAGCCUGACCCAGCAACGCCGCGUGAGGGGAGGAAAUCCUUCGGGAUGUAAACCUCACAAGCAAGGGAAGAG